CUAAAAGAGGUGAUUAAGUAUAAAUGAGGUCAUUAGGGUGAGUCCUAACCCAAUAUGACUGCUGUCCUUACAAAAAAGGGGAAAUUAGGACAAAAAGACACG